rnacentral:rRNA from 1 species
GACAGAGGUGCCGAGCGUUAGGCGGAAUCACUGGGCUUAAAGCGUGUGUAGGCGGAUCGUUAAGUGUCUUGUGAAAUCCCACGGCUCACCCGUGGAACGGCUGGGCAUACUGGCGAUCUUGGGCCAACUAGGGGCAACUGGAACAAGCGGUGGAGCGGUGAAAUGCGUAGAUAUCGCUUGGAACGCCAAAGGUGAAAACAGGUUGCUGGGGUUGUGCCGACGCUGAGACACGAAAGCCAGGGGAGCAAACGGG